rnacentral:rRNA from 1 species
AUUGAACGCUGGCGGCAUGCUUUACACAUGCAAGUCGAACGCGUGGCGCACGGGUGAGUAAUACAUCGGAACGUGUCCUAUAGUAGGGGAUAACUGAUCGAAAGAUCAGCUAAUACCGCAUACGAUUGGAUCGGCAGAUUCCCGAUGAGCUCGUUGGUGAGGUAAAGGGUCACCAAGGCGACGAUCGGUAGCUGGUCUGAGAGGACGAACAGCAACACUGGGACUGAGACACGGCCCAGACUCCUACGGGAGGCAGCAGUGGGGAAGUUUGGACAAUGGGGGCAACCCUGAUCCAGCCAGGCCGCGGGAAGGAUGAAGGUCUUCGGAUUGUAAACUGCUUUUGUCAGGGAAGCGGUACCUAACGAAUAAGCACCGGCUAACUACGUGCCAGCAGCUGCGGUAAUUC